GCGUACCUUUUGUAUAAUGGGUCAGCGACUUAUAUUCUGUAGCAAGGUUAACCGAAUAGGGGAGCCGGAGGGAAACCGAGUCUUAACCGGGCGUUAAGUUGCAGGGUAUAGACCCGAAACCCGGUGAUCUAGCCAUGGGCAGGUUGAAGGUUGGGUAACACUAACUGGAGGACCGAACCGACUAAUGUUGAAAAAUUAGCGGAUGACCUGUGGCUGGGGGUGAAAGGCCAAUCAAACCGGGAGAUAGCUGGUUCUCCCCGAAAGCUAUUUAGGUAGCGCCUCGUGAAUUCAUCUCCGGGGGUAGAGCACUGUUUCGGCUAGGGGGCCAUCCCGGCUUACCAACCCGAUGCAAACUGCGAAUACCGGAGAAUGUUAUCACGGGAGACACACGGCGGGUGCUAACGUCCGUCGUGAAGAGGGAAACAACCCAGACCGCCAGCUAAGGUCCCAAAGUCAUGGUUAAGUGGGAAACGAUGUGGGAAGGCCCAGACAGCCAGGAUGUUGGCUUAGAAGCAGCCAUCAUUUAAAGAAAGCGUAAUAGCUCACUGGUCGAGUCGGCCUGCGCGGAAGAUGUAACGGGGCUAAACCAUGCACCGAAGCUGCGGCAGCGACGCUUAUGCGUUGUUGGGUAGGGGAGCGUUCUGUAAGCCUGUGAAGGUGGCCUGUGAGGGUUGCUGGAGGUAUCAGAAGUGCGAAUGCUGACAUAAGUAACGAUAAAGCGGGUGAAAAGCCCGCUCGCCGGAAGACCAAGGGUUCCUGUCCAACGUUAAUCGGGGCAGGGUGAGUCGACCCCUAAGGCGAGGCCGAAAGGCGUAGUCGAUGGGAAACGGGUUAAUAUUCCCGUACUUGGUGUUACUGCGAAGGGGGGACGGAGAAGGCUAUGUUGGCCGGGCGACGGUUGUCCCGGUUUAAGCGUGUAGGUGUGUGUUCCAGGUAAAUCCGGUUCACUUUAACACUGAGGCGUGAUGACGAGGCACUACGGUGCUGAAGUAACAAAUGCCCUGCUUCCAGGAAAAGCCUCUAAGCAUCAGGUAACAUCAAAUCGUACCCCAAACCGACACAGGUGGUCAGGUAGAGAAUACCAAGGCGCUUGAGAGAACUCGGGUGAAGGAACUAGGCAAAAUGGUGCCGUAACUUCGGGAGAAGGCACGCUGACAC
rnacentral:rRNA from 1 species